UACGUAGGUGGCAAGCGUUGUCCGGAAUUAUUGGGCGUAAAGCGCGCGCAGGCGGUUCUUUAAGUCUGAUGUGAAAGCCCACGGCUCAACCGUGGAGGGUCAUUGGAAACUGGGGAACUUGAGUACAGAAGAGGAAAGCGGAAUUCCACGUGUAGCGGUGAAAUGCGUAGAGAUGUGGAGGAACACCAGUGGCGAAGGCGGCUUUCUGGUCUGUAACUGACGCUGAGGCGCGAAAGCUGGGGGAGUGAACAGG
rnacentral:rRNA from 1 species